rnacentral:tRNA from 1 species
GCAUAUAAAAUAGCUUAGUUAGUAGAGCAUGAGACUCUUAAUCUCAGGGUCAUGGGUUCAAGCCCCACGUUGGGCA